ACCAACAGGGAUUGCCUCAGUAACGGCGAGUGAAGCGGCAACAGCUCAAAUUUGAAAUCUGGCCCUCUCAGGGUCCGAGUUGUAAUUUGGAGAAGAUGCUUCGGGUGUGGCCCCGGUCUAAGUUCCUUGGAACAGGACGUCACAGAGGGUGAGAAUCCCGUACGUGACCGGUGGCCUCCCCCGUGUGAAGCUCUUUCGACGAGUCGAGUUGUUUGGGAAUGCAGCUCAAAAUGGGUGGUAAAUUUCAUCUAAAGCUAAAUAUUGGCCAGAGACCGAUAGCGCACAAGUAGAGUGAUCGAAAGAUGAAAAGCACUUUGGAAAGAGAGUUAAACAGUACGUGAAAUUGUUGAAAGGGAAGCGCUUGCAACCAGACUUGCGCGCGGCCGAUCAUCUGGUGUUCUCACCGGUGCACUCGGCCGCGCUCAGGCCAGCAUCGGUUUGGGUGGCUGGAUAAAGGCCUCGGGAAUGUGGCUCUCUUCGGGGAGUGUUAUAGCCCGAGGUGCAAUGCAGCCUACCCGGACCGAGGACCGCGCUUCGGCUAGGAUGCUGGCGUAAUGGUUGUAAGCGACCCGUCUUGAAACACGGACCAAGGAGUCUAACAUCUAUGCGAGUGUUUGGGUGUCAAACCCAUACGCGUAAUGAAAGUGAACGGAGGUGAGAACCCUUAAGGGUGCAUCAUCGACCGAUCCUGAUGUCUUCGGAUGGAUUUGAGUAAGAGCAUAGCUGUUGGGACCCGAAAGAUGGUGAACUAUGCCUGAAUAGGGUGAAGCCAGAGGAAACUCUGGUGGAGGCUCGCAGCGGUUCUGACGUGCAAAUCGAUCGUCAAAUUUGGGCAUAGGGGGCGAAGACUAAUCGAACCAUCUAGUAGCUGGUCUG
rnacentral:rRNA from 1 species